AUCACACACGCCGGCCCUCAGUCUCUUUUCUCUCUCUCCUCUCUCUCGAUUUUGAUCUUCUUCUCCGGCGACGAUGAGGGAGUGCAUCUCGAUCCACAUCGGCCAGGCCGGGAUUCAGGUCGGCAAUGCUUGCUGGGAGCUUUACUGUCUCGAGCACGGCAUCCAGCCUGAUGGCCAAAUGCCAAGUGACAAGACUAUUGGUGGUGGUGAUGAUGCAUUCAACACUUUCUUUAGUGAAACUGGUGCUGGCAAGCAUGUUCCUCGUGCUAUUUUUGUUGAUCUAGAGCCCACUGUGAUUGAUGAAGUGCGGACUGGAACCUACCGCCAGCUCUUCCACCCUGAG
rnacentral:misc_RNA from 1 species